GCUAGGCGUACGGUGAAAAGAAACGUUCUUUGGGACAUGGCUAAAGGCUGGAAAAUACAUGUAUAAUAGCAUCUCUAACCUUUACAUAUUGUUUAUAUUCUUUGCCUUGACAGUAUGGUUCAGGGCUGUUUGCUAUGAGGUGAUUGUCUCCUGUAGGGGGGUCAAGCAUGGUAAAGGUCAUGCAGGUGGGGAGUUGUCAGAUGGCUGUCCACCCCUCACUGGGCCAAGGGGCUCUCGUGCCGCCUGUCAAAGCCUGUGGCGAAGCAGGGAGAAGAAAGGGUGUCUGGAGACGACGUGUGCCAUGCUGUCUUGGCCCCGCCCCUGGCUGCCGUGCCAGCAGUUCUAGGAGACUGACUGUGUAUCGGUGUAUCACCCGCAUCCAUCUCUCUAACCUCCAGCCCUGCCUUCCCUCAUCCCCACGAGAGGGAGCAGCAGAUCAAGAAAAGGGGAAAGAUUCGUGGAAGGAGGGAGGGAGGGAGCGAAAGAGAAGUGUUUCUGUAUCCCAAAGGAUUGGUCUCUGUCUGUCUAAAUCAGGAAGUGAGAAUGUGACGGCAGGAGAGACAGAGCAGAGACAUCCUUUCAGUGUGUGUGUGUGCACCUUGUUGAGCUGAGGUGUCAUAUAUGUGAAGAUCACAGCUUCACGCUGGUGGCAACCAGGGAUGAUGCUCUAAAUCACUGAAAUGCCAGAGACAACCGUUGUGAUAUGGGCCGUGUCUGUGUGUGUUUGUGCACGUGAAUGUCUUUUGGGACGUUUGAUGGAGAUUAAUACUACUUUUAGAGUCCAAAAGUGAAAAUGUUAUCUAGUAUGUCACCUUGGGAAAAAAAAAGUGUGUGACAUUGUCUGAUAUAGACACACACACUCACUUGCACAAGUGGUCUAGAUCACCAGUUCUCAGCCUUUUGUGUCUAGUGUAUUUGAAAAGCCUGAAAAGUGAACUGAAGCACCCCUUCACUGACCAUCCAUGAAACUCUCAUGUUGAAAAUGUGAUCAUUUUAAUUGAUUUUUUUUGUUAUUUAACAACAAUAAUAAUUUAAAGCACAAAUAGUAGCCUCGAUUUUUCAAGCAUGCAUCUAUUCAUUUUAAUUCCCAUGAUAUUUAUUUUCAUUACAACCAUUUGUCCAUGCUUUUUUAUGUAAAUGUAAACAAAUAAACAAAACACUACUAUGUUUUGUUUAUGUUUUAUUUUGGUUAUCUAUAAAUAUUCUCCCCAUCUUACUAAGUUUGGUUGGGAAUCACAUUAUUCAUAAUGCUCACUAUCCCCAGCAUAUGCACCCACACACAAACACACCUAGCAACAUAACAUUCGCUGCCUUCCUUGGAUGAAUAAUUAGAUGGACACGGAGCUGUCUCUCUGUUUUCCCCUCACACAUUAAGCCACAUGAAUGUAGGCCAACUCACUGUCGACUUCACUUGCCUCUCAUCACAAUCAAAACAACACAUAGAUGUUGUCUUCUCUUGUUCAUCAACCUCUGUCUAUCCCUUGUUACCUCUAUCUAUCUUUAACUUUCUUUUUCAUGAGGUGUGAGUCACAAAGAAUUGUCUUGCAGAUCAGCAGCACAACUGUCCCCGAGAAGAGGCAACAUACACAGACUCUCACACGCUGACGUUGAUAUAGUCAUAGUCACAUCAUUAUAUCUGCAUUAGCAGGGAAAGCCCUUCACGCUCCAACACCUACAUGCCUUCAGUGCAGCGUCUCAUGUGUGUUGUAACUGAUUUACAGUGUCCCUGUUCUAUCUUGACAGAUCAUGCUCAGGAAAUAUGUAGUACAUGGCAUAUUAUGUUUGUGUCAUAUACUUUAUAUAUAGCAUAGCUCUGACUUUUGAAUACAUUUCUUUAAUUGAGACCAAGAAAUAACCAGAAAAGUUGGUGUAUUGAGAUAAAAGGAAUAUAUAUAAGCGGCACGGAAAGCUGCUUUUAUAGUUGCUAUUUAAGCACGGUUAUAAAGUUUGCUGAAUAAUGAAAGAAAAAAAAAAAAAACGCAACUAAAGACAAAAAUGUCUUAUUCAAAUUCAAAUGGGAAUUUAUACCCAGCACAUCAUUUUGACAAAUUCCUACACCUUUAUUUUUAUCCUUUUUAGCAUUUUAUCUAAAAGACAAUGAGAAUUGUGGCGAUUUGGACACAAAAUGUAAAUUAUAACCAUGGAUAAUAAUGAUAUUCCACUAUUUAUGCCACAUCUUACAUACUGAGCUCCUUUUGAUUGACUUAAAACCCCCAUUUGAUGGCAAAUCUAGUUCUUUGUAACUAACAAAGUUAUCAUUAAUGUAAAACUGGAAUGAGUUCAACUGAGACACUGUCGUGUGCAAAAGCCACAUUUUUGCAUGCUCAUGUUAUAAAUCUAUCACUUUGAAUAGCAAAUAAGAGUAAAGUACAGACCAGACAAAAAUCCUCUAUCACUAAAAGGUAUAAUACACAAAUACAGGCAAACAUAUGAAAAAUGGGUUAUGUGACUGGGCCAUUACCUAAAGCAAGGUAAAGCAAGACAACAGAUGAAAUAUUGAGAAGGGACAGGGGAGCACUUGGCAUUUUGGGCACGCAC